UACAGAGGGUGCGAGCGUUAAUCGGAGUUACUGGGCGUAAAGCGCACGUAGGUGGCGACGUAAGUCGGGUGUGAAAGCCCCGGGCUCAACCUGGGAAUUGCAUUCGAGACUGCAUUGCUGGAGUACGGAAGAGGAGGGCGGAAUUCCCGGUGUAGCGGUGAAAUGCGUAGAUAUCGGGAGGAACAUCAGUGGCGAAGGCGGCCCUCUGGUCCAGUACUGACACUCAAGUGCGAAAGCGUGGGGAGCAAACAGG
rnacentral:rRNA from 1 species